rnacentral:ribozyme from 1 species
UGCCCAGCAACUCCUAUCCCUACCUCCACGCGGUACCGGCCGGAAACUAUGAGCAACCUUAGGGAAGAUCGGGUAACCAACCCCGGUGGGACCUUUGGUCGUAGGCUGACAGGGAAGU